CAAGGGGUAGCAAUACACCGGCGGACGGGUGCGUAACGCGUACACAACAUACCUUUAAGCGGGGGAUAGCAUUGGGAAACUGGUGGUAAUACCCCAUAACAUUGCGUUUCGGCAUUGGAAUGCAAUUAAAGUUUUGGCGCUUAGAGAUUGGUGUGCGUCUGAUUAGCUAGUUGGCGGGGUAACGGCCCACCAAGGCGACGAUCAGUAGGGGGUGUGAGAGCAUGACCCCCCACAUGGGUACUGAGACACGGACCCAACUCCUACGGGAGGCAGCAGUAAGGAAUAUUGGACAAUGGGCGGAAGCCUGAUCCAGCCAUGCCGCGUGAAGGAUGAAGGCGCUCAGCGUUGUAAACUUCUUUUGGAUGGGGACAAUAACUUUCAUUUAUGAGAGCUUGAGGGUACCAUCAGAAUAAGCACCGGCUAACUCCGUGCCAGCAGCCGCGGUAAUACGGAGGGUGCAAGCGUUAUCCGGAAUCACUGGGUUUAAAGGGUGCGUAGGCGGUCAGAUAAGUCAGUCGUGAAAUUCUCCGGCUUAACCGGGUGGACUGCGAUUGAUACUGUUUGACUUGAAUGAGGUUGAGGUAGGCGGAAUGUGGCAUGUAGCGGUGAAAUGCUUAGAUAUGCCAUAGAACACCGAUUGCGAAGGCAGCUUGCUGGGCCUUCAUUGACGCUGAGGCACGAAAGCGUGGGGAGCAAACAG
rnacentral:rRNA from 1 species